ACGAGAAAGACAGAGAGCGAGCGCUGCCCCUAAAUGAGGGACAUCUGUUUCUAGUAUAUUUUACCAUUAAUCUUAUGGGAUACAAUUAUUUCAUUAUGGAGUUAUCAAUAGUUGUAAUUCUAAUUUGAUUUGUUAUUCUAAUUCUUUUUUUUUUACUUAACAGGCAGUGUUGUUUUCAUGUGUCCAAAGGGGGAAUUACCAAUCCCUUGGGACCCUUUGGUUCUGGCGAAGGUGACUACAGAUGGUAUCUAGAUACAUGGAAAGGAUCAUUUGACCGAGAACAGUGGAAACCUCACCCCCUCUAAAUGGCUGAAGUAAUGGCGACAAUGGCAUUCACUAUGGUCCUUCACCAUUUCACGUGAGACCUGAGUCCGAGCCAGCAACUUGUACACAGCAUCCAGUCGAAGCUAUCAACUGCAUUUUCUCUCAGGCUGUGACAUGAGUCCACGUGGAGUGAGCAUGGAGAGAGAUCCUGUCCAAACUUCUCUCAUGCUGCUGGUGUACAGGAGCAGGUUAUCCCAAGACUCCCGAUACAGACAUUCAGACACAGACAUUGACUUCUUUUCUUUAAAUUAUUGUUUUAUGUAGGAUGUUACCUUUGUUGGCCAGUUGCAAUUGUAAGUAGGCCAAAUGCAUUUUUUAAAAUCCCAUUUCUAUUAGGCCAUUUUUCUUCUUUUGGAAGAUGCUGUUAAGCCUCAUAGCCUACCUCAGCUAGUUAAGUUAUUUAAUAUGGGCCUUGGCUCUGAAUAAAUAAGACUACAAUUAAGCCCUCUUGUUGUUUGUAAAGUAAAAUUAA